UACAGAGAGUGCAAACGUUGUUCGGAAUUACUGGGCUUGAAGCGCACGUAGGCGGCGUUGUAAGUGUCGGGUGAAAUCCCACGGCUCACCCGUGGAACUGCCCGGCAUACUGCGAUGCUAGAGUGUGGUAGGGGAGAGCGGAACUCCUGGUGGAGCGGUGAAAUGCGUAGAUAUCAGGAGGAACACCGGUGGCGAAGGCGGAUCUCUGGGCCUGUUCUGACGCUGAGGCGCGAAAGCUAGGGGAGCGAACAGG
rnacentral:rRNA from 1 species